GGUCAAGUGAAGAAGCGCAUACGGUGGAUGCCUUGGCAGUCAGAGGCGAUGAAAGACGUGGUAGCCUGCGAAAAGCUUCGGGGAGUCGGCAAACAGACUUUGAUCCGGAGAUCUCUGAAUGGGGGAACCCACCUAGGAUAACCUAGGUAUCUUGUACUGAAUCCAUAGGUGCAAGAGGCGAACCAGGGGAACUGAAACAUCUAAGUACCCUGAGGAAAAGAAAUCAACCGAGAUUCCCUUAGUAGUGGCGAGCGAACGGGGAUUAGCCCUUAAGCUUGGCGGCCGCAAAAACUGAGUGCAACACCCGACCAUUUCGGUAAGGUGUUGCCCCAUGUCCUAUCACGAACUCAGCGCCACAGAGCGCGUCACGAUCCAGAUCGGCCUGUGCAAUGGCUUCAGCCAGCGCAGGCUUGCCCGGCUGAUGAACCGCAGCCCCUCGACGGUCAGCCGUGAGAUCCGGCGCAACCGGAAUGCUCAAGGCGAGUACGUUGCAGACGAUGCCCAGCGCUUGAUGCAUACACGCCGCGUGGUCUGUCGACCCGCAAAACGGCUGGUGCCCGGCAACGAGUUGUUCGAGCUGGUCGCCCACCUGCUGCGACAGCGCUUUUCUCCCGAGCAGAUUGCCGGCAAGCUGCGAACCAUGAAAUCCCCAAGCUUCGAAGACGCCUACGUCUGCCGCGAGACAAUCUACAACGCGAUCUAUGCCCUGCCGGUCGGCGAGCUGCGCAAGGAGCUGAUCAUCUGUCUGCGGCAGGGCAAGACUACCCGCCGGCCGCGCUCCGGCGGGGUGGAUCGACGUGGCCAGAUCCCCGACAUGGUCAGCAUCCACGUACGCCCACCGGAGAUCGAAGACCGCCUGAUGCCCGGUCACUGGGAGGGCGAUCUGAUCAAGGGCAAGGCCAACGCCUCGGCGGUAGCCACCCUGGUCGAGCGCACCAGCGGCUACCUGAUCCUGGCGAAGAUGAACGAUGCGACGGCGACCUCGGCGGUGGAGGGCUUCAGCGCGGCGCUGAACCGCAUGCCGCUGGCUGUACGCAAGAGCAUGACCUACGACCAGGGGCGAGAGAUGGCGCGGCACGCGGAAAUCACCCAGAAGACCGGUGUGGCGAUCUACUUCUGCGACCCACACAGCCCCUGGCAGCGCGGCAGCAACGAGAACAUCAACGGCCUGAUCCGCCAGUACCUGCCCAAGGGCACGGACUUGUCGGUGUACAGCCAGGAGCAGUUGGAUGCCAUUGCCUACGAACUGAACAUCCGACCGCGCAAGCGCUUCAAUUGGAAAUGCCCGAUUGAGGUCAUGACAGAAGUAGUGGCGUUGCAGCAUGAUGCACCUGCUUCAAUCCAGUAACCGUGUUGCACUCAGCUUCUGCAACCGCCCUUCAUUGAUUUUAGCGGAACGCUCUGGAAAGUGCGGCCAUAGUGGGUGAUAGCCCCGUACGCGAAAGGAUCUUUGAAGUGAAAUCGAGUAGGACGGAGCACGAGAAACUUUGUCUGAACAUGGGGGGACCAUCCUCCAAGGCUAAAUACUACUGACUGACCGAUAGUGAACCAGUACCGUGAGGGAAAGGCGAAAAGAACCCCGGAGAGGGGAGUGAAAUAGAACCUGAAACCGUAUGCGUACAAGCAGUGGGAGCCUACUUGUUAGGUGACUGCGUACCUUUUGUAUAAUGGGUCAGCGACUUAUAUUCAGUGGCAAGCUUAACCGUAUAGGGUAGGCGUAGCGAAAGCGAGUCUUAAUAGGGCGUUUAGUCGCUGGGUAUAGACCCGAAACCGGGCGAUCUAUCCAUGAGCAGGUUGAAGGUUAGGUAACACUGACUGGAGGACCGAACCCACUCCCGUUGAAAAGGUAGGGGAUGACUUGUGGAUCGGAGUGAAAGGCUAAUCAAGCUCGGAGAUAGCUGGUUCUCCUCGAAAGCUAUUUAGGUAGCGCCUCAUGUAUCACUCUGGGGGGUAGAGCACUGUUUCGGCUAGGGGGUCAUCCCGACUUACCAAACCGAUGCAAACUCCGAAUACCCAGAAGUGCCGAGCAUGGGAGACACACGGCGGGUGCUAACGUCCGUCGUGAAAAGGGAAACAACCCAGACCGCCAGCUAAGGUCCCAAAGUUGUGGUUAAGUGGUAAACGAUGUGGGAAGGCUUAGACAGCUAGGAGGUUGGCUUAGAAGCAGCCAUCCUUUAAAGAAAGCGUAAUAGCUCACUAGUCGAGUCGGCCUGCGCGGAAGAUGUAACGGGGCUCAAACCACACACCGAAGCUGCGGGUGUCACGUAAGUGACGCGGUAGAGGAGCGUUCUGUAAGCCUGUGAAGGUGAGUUGAGAAGCUUGCUGGAGGUAUCAGAAGUGCGAAUGCUGACAUGAGUAACGACAAUGGGUGUGAAAAACACCCACGCCGAAAGACCAAGGGUUCCUGCGCAACGUUAAUCGACGCAGGGUUAGUCGGUUCCUAAGGCGAGGCUGAAAAGCGUAGUCGAUGGGAAACAGGUUAAUAUUCCUGUACUUCUGGUUACUGCGAUGGAGGGACGGAGAAGGCUAGGCCAGCUUGGCGUUGGUUGUCCAAGUUUAAGGUGGUAGGCUGAAAUCUUAGGUAAAUCCGGGGUUUCAAGGCCGAGAGCUGAUGACGAGUCGUCUUUUAGAUGACGAAGUGGUUGAUGCCAUGCUUCCAAGAAAAGCUUCUAAGCUUCAGGUAACCAGGAACCGUACCCCAAACCGACACAGGUGGUCGGGUAGAGAAUACCAAGGCGCUUGAGAGAACUCGGGUGAAGGAACUAGGCAAAAUGGCACCGUAACUUCGGGAGAAGGUGCGCCGGCUAGGGUGAAGGAUUUACUCCGUAAGCUCUGGCUGGUCGAAGAUACCAGGCCGCUGCGACUGUUUAUUAAAAACACAGCACUCUGCAAACACGAAAGUGGACGUAUAGGGUGUGACGCCUGCCCGGUGCCGGAAGGUUAAUUGAUGGGGUUAGCGCAAGCGAAGCUCUUGAUCGAAGCCCCGGUAAACGGCGGCCGUAACUAUAACGGUCCUAAGGUAGCGAAAUUCCUUGUCGGGUAAGUUCCGACCUGCACGAAUGGCGUAACGAUGGCGGCGCUGUCUCCACCCGAGACUCAGUGAAAUUGAAAUCGCUGUGAAGAUGCAGUGUAUCCGCGGCUAGACGGAAAGACCCCGUGAACCUUUACUGUAGCUUUGCACUGGACUUUGAGCCUGCUUGUGUAGGAUAGGUGGGAGGCUUUGAAGCGUGGACGCCAGUUCGCGUGGAGCCAUCCUUGAAAUACCACCCUGGCAUGCUUGAGGUUCUAACUCUGGUCCGUGAUCCGGAUCGAGGACAGUGUAUGGUGGGCAGUUUGACUGGGGCGGUCUCCUCCUAAAGAGUAACGGAGGAGUACGAAGGUGCGCUCAGACCGGUCGGAAAUCGGUCGUAGAGUAUAAAGGCAAAAGCGCGCUUGACUGCGAGACAGACACGUCGAGCAGGUACGAAAGUAGGUCUUAGUGAUCCGGUGGUUCUGUAUGGAAGGGCCAUCGCUCAACGGAUAAAAGGUACUCCGGGGAUAACAGGCUGAUACCGCCCAAGAGUUCAUAUCGACGGCGGUGUUUGGCACCUCGAUGUCGGCUCAUCACAUCCUGGGGCUGAAGCCGGUCCCAAGGGUAUGGCUGUUCGCCAUUUAAAGUGGUACGCGAGCUGGGUUUAGAACGUCGUGAGACAGUUCGGUCCCUAUCUGCCGUGGACGUUUGAGAUUUGAGAGGGGCUGCUCCUAGUACGAGAGGACCGGAGUGGACGAACCUCUGGUGUUCCGGUUGUCACGCCAGUGGCAUUGCCGGGUAGCUAUGUUCGGAAAAGAUAACCGCUGAAAGCAUCUAAGCGGGAAACUUGCCUCAAGAUGAGAUCUCACUGGGAACUUGAUUCCCCUGAAGGGCCGUCGAAGACUACGACGUUGAUAGGCUGGGUGUGUAAGCGUUGUGAGGCGUUGAGCUAACCAGUACUAAUUGCCCGUGAGGCUUGACCAU
rnacentral:rRNA from 1 species